rnacentral:lncRNA from 1 species
UUGCUCCCACUGGCAUAGCAUUUUCAAUUGGUUGUAUCCUUUUAGGGGACAUGCUGGCAAAGUGCCAUCUGUGAUUUGAGCAACAGUUGACAUAUAAUAUUGUAAAGAAUCUCUCUCUCUCUCUCUCUCUCUCCAAUUUGGUCAGCAACAAGAGAAUUUUCUCUCAGGAAAAGGAAAAAGGUUGAUAAUAGUAAAGCAAGCCUAACAGAAACAUUUGUUGACAUUAUUCAGCAAGUACUUGUGGAGUCCAUGUGAAUCCUCUUACACAGGAAAUUUUUUUUUGCAUACAAAUAGGUGCAACUUUGAGUGGAGGCUAACAUUUUCUUUCAUUCGAGGUCUUGAGUUGUGCUGUCUCUACUGGAAUUCCCUCUUUUUGGUUACUUUUCUUUUGGCUAAAAUAUUAAAUUGGUUCAUGUACUAUGUUAAAAUAUUUAAAUUAAUCUUUGUACUUUCAAAAAGUUUUUGUUUUAGUUCCUGACUGUUUAUGCAUGCUAGCAAUGUUAAUGGAUUUGCCAUGUGGUAGUGAGUUGGAUACUUGAUUAUUUUUGGUUUGGAUGAAUUGACAUUUGGCGUGAAAACUAAUUUAUUUGUGUGCAUUAAUGACCAAAGACUAAAUAAUUUUUUUUUGGAAGUACUGGGAUCAAAAGUGCAAAAAAAAAAGCAUAAGAACUACUUUGAAUAGUUUAAAAUAGGAUAAGGACCAAUGUAGCAUGGUCAUGUUACCUGUUUCUUUUUGUUCUUUUUAGCUGUAGCUAUGGUCAUGUUACCGUUUUCUUAUUUUACAUGUUUUAUACCUCAUCAAUGAGUUAGGUUGAGUUCCUUACCACCUCUCCUUGUUCAGCGCAGGUGGCAUUUUGGAGUGUACAAGGUUUCUGAUGAAUGUGUUUCUCCAGGUUAGUAUGUAAUGAAAAGUAAAAAUAAUUUUUGGGGAUGAUAAUUUGAUGUGAAAAACAGUUUUGAUCCCCAUAUUCUUUGUUUAGCGAGAAGAGGACAAAACUCAUUCUGGCAUGUGAUACAUGAGGAGCCAGUUGAGACCGAAAUAAAAAAGAAGAAAAAGAAAAAAAAAUGUAUGGUGUAAAAUGAGAUGUUUAUUCUUCCAAAUUUCUGAUUUAUAUGUUAGUUCAGAUGUAAUUGGCAAUUGAUGUAAUUGCCUUGAUUGUUAUUUGAAAAAAUGAAUAGUAAUAUUUGUAUCACAAGCUAUGUUCAUCUUUCUUUCCUUGAUUUCUUCUGCAAAGACUUUCUUUCUAAUUUACCAUAUAAUUGAUAGUUUGCAUAAUCUAAUAUGAAUAUAUGUAGUUUAACUGUAUAAAUAUAAAAACAAGAAUUUAAUUUAAAAUAAAAUUGAAGAAAUAUAUUUUCAUUAUAGAAACUAGUUUCUUUUUAAUGUGUCAGCACAAUUUUGAAGUUGGUAAAUUAGUUGCCAUUUAUUUUACACUACUAAUUUAUCUUUUUGAUUUUUGACUUAGCCCACAAAGAAUUUCCUAGAACUUCGCCCGCUUCUGCUAGUUGGAUCACAUGGUUAACAUGAAGAACUGGCGUAUAAUUGAAAAUCUCUUUAAUAAUUGAAAUAUGUCGUCAUUUAGUUUUAACUGGAUUGAACUGAAUUAGGAUCAGUGAAAUUUGUAGUCCAGGAAUUUUUGGACCAAAUACCUAAUUGAACAUUAUUUGGUCCAAUCUGUUCUGGAAUGAACUCGCUGGUUUAACAUAGUUUUUUUGAUUGAAUUUGAUAAUAUUUAUCUUUAUAUUUUUUUUUUAACUUUUUAUGGUAAAGAGACUUAGACUCAAAAGAAGUAUUGCGUUGACUAUAUCACAUAUAUAAGGAUUUUUUUUUAAUACAAUAUAAUAUAUAUAUAUAUAUAUCUUGUAUUAACUAGAGUUAAAAAUUCAGCUUCUAAUUUGAAUUAAAAUUUCAACUUUUUAACUUAUUGUGGGUGGAGAAAUACUCGAAUGAGCCAAAGCUAUUAUAUGUAUAAAGAUUUUAUGAGAUAUAAAAACAUAUUUGAUAUAUUUUGAGAAAAAAAUCUUAAUAUAUUCUAAUUCAAGAGGAAGGAUAUUUUUUCAGUAAGAUAUGAUAUUUUUUUCGACUAUACAAGGAGACAGGUGUCCAUGUCAAAUGGAAAUAUGGCGAGUCUCGACUCUCGCGCAUCCGUUCACGUGGCGGACACAGAACGCCACUCUCUCUCCAACGACGCUUUGACAUCCUGUCCCGCUCAGAAGGAUCACGGGGAAGUCUUUCCCUUCCAUUUCCAAAUACUCACUCACUGAAAUCUCAAUAUAUAAGCUGAAAAAUCNNNNNNNNNNNNNNNNNNNNNNNNNNNNNNNNNNNNNNNNNNNNNNNNNNNNNNNNNNNNNNNNNNNNNNNNNNNNNNNNNNNNNNNNNNNUGUGUUCUUGACAUGGGGUACGUAAAAUGCGCAGUUCGUUUGGCAACUUCUGUCCUUUCGUGUUUUCACUAGAUUUUGGCAUUUUCAAGUCAUCUUCUAGAGUCUCCAACUGAGUGCAAAAGAAUCUUAGUUCUAAUAUUGAUGUGUUGAAGUUUAUUUCCCUGGAAUGGACGUGGAGUUUCAUCGUUUUUUUUUUCUUUUGAACUGCUGGCUUAUGUUUGCUCUUUCUUCAUCAGACUUAGAGUUUGUUUGGAACAAAAUGAAUUAUUUUGGUGGAAUAUAUUUAGAAAUCUUAGUUUCGUUUUCCUCUAGCAUUAGCAAAUCAUUCUGUAAAGACAAGUCUAACUAAUUCAUUCCGCCGAAUUUGAAAUGUAUGAUUUCAGUUCCACUUAUAAUAAUUUGAAAUUGAAUUUUCAUGUUUUAAGUUUAGAUUUAUAAAUAUUCAAAUAGUCUGUUUGCUCCAUGCAUCCUUAAUGACAUCUUAGAAGGUGUAUCAUGUUUAGUUUUGUUACAUUAAGGAGAGUGCGGGUUAUGACUAAAAAUGGUGUAAUUGAGCUUGAGCAUUUACUUUAUGAUCUUGUAUCUUCACUUGGUGAGAUUUUGACUUCUACUAGUGCCUAAUAGAUUGAAACUAAGUAGAAGAGCAUCAGGCAGACAGCGAGGAUUCUGUAGUAAGGCAUGUCCAUUCACUAUACUAUUGCAGAGCCAUUGCAAUGGCCUUCCUUUUUUUUUCUCUGAAAUUUAACAGUUGUCUGAAUUUUGACUUCAAAAGUUUCUGCGGAGGCAGUCAAGGGACAGUCUCAAGCAUAGAAGAGCUAAUGUCUAUGGUCUUCAUGCUCAAGAUCGUGUACUGGAGGUACUUCUCACUGAACCAGAAACUUCUUUUAAAUCCUGGCUAUUAUUAAGCUUCAUGAAAUUCUCAAAUUCUUUUGAUUUUUUAGGCUAUUUGACCAUAUCUCUGACCAUCUUAAGUAUAAAUGCAGCAAUAUCACUAUGAAAAAUGUGAAUGCAGUAGAAUUGCAUCUUGAAUUCUGGUGUUGUAUUGCUAGUAAUUUUUUUUUCUUAGGAUAAAUUGUGAGAUUUAUGUUAUUAAAUAGUUCAUGCAUCUAUUGUCCUUAUAUAUGUGUGUGUUUUUCUGCUACUAGUUUUGACUGAAACAUGCUAUAGGUAUCUUUAAGGGUAUUAAACUAAUUUUUGUUUUCUGAUACCUGUUCGUACUUCUAGGAAGAAGCCCCAAAGAUGUCAGAAACCAGCCCAUCAUUAAAAUUUUCCUCUGGGCAGCCAUUUCCAUUAGGUGUGUCAGAGGAUGAUAAUGGAAUCAAUUUUGCUAUUUUUUCACAGCAUGCAAUUGCAGUCACACUCUGCUUAUCAUUUCCCGAGAGGUGAAAUUAUUUCCUUAUUGGUUGGAUUAUGAAAUAAAAUUAUCAAUGGAAGUUACUGAAUUUGGUUUUCAUUUCUUGGCCUGCUAUAUGGUCAAAGAAUAGGGGACUAUUCAUGCCUCAACCAUGUUGUUCUAUACUUUAACAUUUCAUUCUGCCAUUUUCUUGGUGUCCUAGAAUCAUUCUUGUUUCAGUUUAAUGUAGAUGCUGGAUUAUGUUUGUUACAUGCGAUUCCGGUGUUUGUCAAGUUGUUAUCUAUAGGUUUUUAAGACAACCAUAGAAUGUUUUUGUGUUUGUCUAUUGUUUCAUUAGCAGAGAUAAACUUGCUUAACUUCUUCUGGUUUUCAUUAUGACGGACAUUAAUCUGUGGUUAUUUUUGGGGGUUUGUAAUUUAUAUGAGAAAAUCGUGUUUCGUAUCAAAUUUGUGCCAUCUGCUUUUUGAGUACGUCCUGUUGCAGUAUUGGCUUAUGUCAUAUCUCUCAACUGCUUAUGCUCCUUGCACCUUGACUCUAAAAAGCUCAUUUUGAUUCCUGUACCAUUCGCAUUUUAGCUGACUGUUUCUGAUGUUUUUGUACCAGUAAAAAUAUUGUUCUCAAGUUCUGGAGUUUUGACUUUUAUCUGUAUUAUCUUAAGCCUAAUGCAUUUUCCAUAGAUCAUAUCACAGGGAUAAGGUGGGAAGGCCAAAUGAUGAAAUGAUUGAACUGGCUCUGGAUCCACGUCUAAACAGAACUGGAGAUGUUUGGCACAUAUGUAUAGAGGUAGUAUUACACUUUUACUGGUUCUAUCCCUAUGGAAGUAGGGAAGUCUUCCAUGUGCAGCAUUCAUAUGAACACAUAUACUAAUUACUUAUAUAUGCAUCAACCAUUAUUGGUCACAUGAGAGGCUGAUAUCUUGCAAGUUUGCUGUUUGUAAUGUUGGCUGUAUGUGUGCAUACAUCCAACAUUUCUUUAUUACUUCUGUGACAUAAGGUCUUUAAUACAUCUUGCAUUUAUGCUUUGAAAUUGUAUAUGUAAAAGUAGGACUUGCCUCGAAGCAAGAUUCUCUAUGGUUAUCGCAUGGAUGGUCCUCAAAAUUGGCAUCAAGGGCAUCGAUUUGACAGCAGCAUUGUUCUUAUAGAUCCUUAUGCCAAGCUUGUUGAAGGACGCCAGUAUUUUGGAGACCCCAACCAUAGAUUUACAAAAUUUCUUGGAACUUAUGAUUUUGAGAGUCCAGAUUUUGAUUGGGGAGAUAACUACAAGCUACCAAACAUACCUGAGGUAUUAAGAUGUUUAUAUCCUUACCACACUCUAAUGGUAAAUUCUUCUCUCAGAUUGAGAUUUUACAUUCAUACAUAUUGAUAUAUUUCUUCCAGGCAUUCACCUUUGUUAUUAGUUGAAUAGACUAAUAACUAAAUGUAUGUCUAUUUUUCCUUAUAAAAGCUCUACAUGUUUUUCCUAGUAUUGAACUCCAAAUUUUUUUAGUCUUCAAAAUCAGAUUUUAUGCAUUAUGUUACAAGUAUUAUAUUUUACAUUUGUAUAUUGAUAAUUUCUUCCUGUCAUUCAUCUUUAUUAUUAGUUGAUUAAACUAGUAACUAAAGGUAUGCCCAUUUUUUCUUGUACUGAAUUCCAAAAUUCUUUUUAGUCAGAGUUUAUGCAUCGUGCAUACAAUUUUUAUAUUCUACAUUGUAAAUUCUGCAUCUCUGCUUUCUAUUAUCUUUGCAGAAAGAUCUUGUUAUAUAUGAGAUGAAUGUUCGUGCAUUCACAGCUGAUGAAUCUAGUGGCUUGGAUCCAAGUAUUCGUGGCAGCUACCUUGGAGUGAUUGAGAAGGUAAUUAUUGAUAUAUUAAAAUGAAAAAAAAAGACUUUUAUUUCCUUCAGUUUCCAGCUGGAUGAGAAAAUUCUUACUAAGGGAUCAGAUUGUUCAAAGAGUAGAUCCUUGAAUGAAUAAUACAGUGAGAGCAGGGUUUAUGUAGUGUGAGCUGAUGCAAGAGGUAACAGUUAAGUAAUUGUAACAAAAGUAGCUAGAAAUUAGUUAAAAUAGUUGCAAAAGGUUAAAUCCGUUUCAAGCAGCCGAGAUCGGGUUUAAAUAGAUCCAGGAAUGUAUAAAUACNNNNNNNNNNNNNNNNNNNNNNNNNNNNNNNNNNNNNNNNNNNNNNNNNNNNNNNNNNNNNNNNNNNNNNNNNNNNNNNNNNNNNNNNNNNNNNNNNNNNNNNNNNNNNNNNNNNNNNNNNNNNNNNNNNNNNNNNNNNNNNNNNNNNNNNNNNNNNNNNNNNNNNNNNNNNNNNNNNNNNNNNNNNNNNNNNNNNNNNNNNNNNNNNNNNNNNNNNNNNNNNNNNNNNNNNNNNNNNNNNNNNNNNNNNNNNNNNNNNNNNNNNNNNNNNNNNNNNNNNNNNNNNNNNNNNNNNNNNNNNNNNNNNNNNNNNNNNNNNNNNNNNNNNNNNNNNNNNNNNNNNNNNNNNNNNNNNNNNNNNNNNNNNNNNNNNNNNNNNNNAUCGCUUUAAGAAUGAGAAUAUUCUCAUCAGAAAGUGAUGCAAGGCAUCACUUUUCUUUCUACGUUUUGAGAAUGUUCUUGACAUAAAUCAGUGCAGGUGAGGAUGCCUAGCUGGAACUUGGGCAGCACCAGCAUUAUGCAAUUGUUGAAAAUUUCUUUUGCAUGCUUUAUUAUUUAAAGAAUGAUCCCUAUUGGGGAAUUGUUAUGUAGCUCGCCUGACUCUUUUUUUUUAACUUAAAGAUUCCACACCUUUUAGAGCUUGGUGUUAAUGCAUUGGAGCUACUGCCUGUCUUUGAAUUUGAUGAGUUGGAGUUUCAGAGGCGUCCAAACCCAAGAGAUCACAUGGUAGUAAAACAAAAAUCUGUCUCUGCUCUAUGCUAUAAUUUUUUUAUGAUGUGAACCCUUAUUGCAUUUUGUUCUCACUAUGAUAUUUGUUGCUGAAGAAGUCAAGUUCUGUUAACUUUCAGUUUUGUGGGUUUGACUUAGAACCUGUGUUUCCUUGGCAUUUUCUUCUCUUAUCUUGAUGCUUCUUAAUGACGAUUUAUCCUAUUUGUUACCUUAUGUGGCUUCUGAUGAAUUAAGACGUGAUGCAAAUGGAGAUACCAUUUGAGACAGUUGCAUAUUUCCCAGUAGCCGCUGUAGCUUUGCAUCCUUAUUGGAUUUCUCAAGUAUGAGGAGAUUUCAAAUCUCAGACAAUUAUGAUUGUUGGUUGGUUACUUAACUCCCAAAUGGAUGUCAUUAUAAACCUUUGGGAAGAAAAUGAAAUGCUAGGGAACAUUCUAGCAUUCUGCCAUUUACUUCUUUUUCUUUUAAUUUUUACGUGUUGCUUACCUUGUGCUUGGAUUUGAUGUAACAGAGUGAAAAAUAAAUCAACUUUAUUCAUUUUGCUAGAUCAAUACUUGGGGCUAUUCAACCAUAAAUUUCUUUGCUCCUAUGAGUCGCUAUGCCAGUGGUGGUGGUGGAGCUCUUAGGGCUUCAAGGGAGUUCAAAGAAAUGGUUAAAGCCUUGCAUGGUGCUGGCAUAGAGGUGACUAUGUCUUUCUCUUUUUGAUAGUUCUGUUUGUUUGCCUUAUUGAAAACCUGAAAUAUAUUUGUUAGAGUAGACUGAAAUAUUUUGUUUCUUACUCUGCAGGUCAUUUUAGAUGUUGUUUAUAAUCAUACCAAUGAAGCCGAUGAUGAAAACCCUUACACCACUUCAUUUCGUGGCAUAGAUAAUAAGGUGAUUCUGGAAUUCUUUUAUUGAUUUAACAGGACAGGAACCAUGCCUCUGGUAUUUUAUAGUUUAUGUUCUGCUUAUGGUUUUAAAUUUAGGUACGUUAAUUAGAUCAUUAUUUUUCAGUAAAUCUUAAGCUUUUUUUAGUUUUUUUCUAUAAAGUUAAAAGGGGAGAAAGAAUUCCAAACAAGAUGGGGAGGAUAACAUAACCUUUAGAGAAAAAAGACAAAACAAAAGAAAUAAAGAAAGUAAAGAAAAUGCAUUGAUACAAAAAUACAUCACAUUCUCUUUGACAAAUGGAUGAACCUGAGAGCAGGACACCACUCUAGCAAAAUGCUAAUCAAGACUGUUGCUUGAAAAAUCCUAGCAUUCUGCUGUAGCCAAGGAUCCAUAAACCUGUGAAGGUGGUCCACUCCGCAGCACCAUGCACUCCUGUAUUCACUCAAACCCAUGGAAAAAAAAGAAGAGAAACAAGAGUAGAACUAAAGGUCUUUGAGUCAAGAGGGGCAUGCUCUUUUUUUUGGAUGAAAAAAAAAUAUUUUAGAAAACAAGAAAAAACCAUCGUUGUAGUAGUACGUUUCCUUCAAAGGAAAGAAAAAACAGAAAUGCAUCAAUCUAAAACAACCAGCUAAUCUCUUUGCGAAACACUAAACGUGGGUAAUAAUCCAUUCUAAACUAUCCAAGCCAAGUACUCAAGAUUCUGAAAGUAUAUCAAGCAUGAGGACAAAGCUCUAUGAGGAGAGUGGAGCACAUAAUUAUUGGUCCUAUUCAAGAUAGUAAUGUAGAUGAAAACCCGUAUCUCAGACAAAGUUUUCACUUUUCGAGAAAGAGAAAGGCAAAGUUGAGGGAUGCUAAUAGGGUUGUGAGUAAGAAAUUUAAAUAAAGAUUUAUGAGUGUGGAUUGUUGAGGUAUCGAGGGUCCAAACUUGACUAUCAGGGCUAGAGGCAGAGCAAGUGAAGUAAAGUGAUUGGGGACAUAUAUCUAACUAAUAUUGUUCACUGAGAUUUAUGAAGGGAGAAAAGUUCCAAGAUACAUUACCAUCUAGAUUAUUACAAAAGACAAAAUAGUAGCAUUAGGUCUGAUAGACAUUCUAUAAAGAUGAGGAAUAAAGAAGAUGAAACAAAUCAUAAACUUGAGCAAUGGAUCCCUAGGACUUCUUCAAGUAAUUGACGACCCACUUUUAGUGUAUGAGUUGUUCUAGAGCAAUCUGAAAGUUGAUCUUUACAACCCUGUUCCUAAAGAAAAUGCCAUAUUUUCCACUAGAGCAAGGUUUCUACACACUUGAGUUCUAGUAGUAAGCCCUUCCCUCCACUUAUUUAUUAGCAUGAUGACUACAAUUUACAAGCUUUACCACCUAACUCAUAAAUUCUGUCGUUCUUUUCCUAAUAUAAGCUUUUGAUACUAUAAUGCUUUUUUGAUUGAAUUUUGUAAGAAAGGAAUAGUAUAGUUGUCUACUUUCCAAUUUUUACAUUUCUUCCUUAGUCAUGUAUUUCCUGUAACUCAUUUGCAGGUUUAUUAUAUGGUGGAUUUAAAUAACAAUGGCCAGUUGCUGAAUUUCUCUGGCUGUGGUACUUUCUGUGUCCUUUAUAGUUCCUCUUUCUUUGGAAGAACUAUACUCUUUUAUUAAUGCAUUGAGUGGAUGUGCAUCUCUUUUCCUGUAAAAUGUCAUAACUGCAUAUAAAUCUCUUUUCCAAUUUUAUUAAAACUAUUUUGCAUAACUCUAUCUUUUUGUCGUUGCUAUUUGUAACUAGAAUCAAGGUUUUGCUCUUGCAUGAAAAUCAAUGAGUUUUGUCUGCUUUGCAAUAGUUUUAGGAUCAUAGAACUAUGUACCUUAUUCAACAAGGACACAAUUCCUUGCAUAUUGCACUUGAUCUUUGCCACACAUUGUGAUGCAGAACAAGAAGACCUGAAGUAGACAUCUUUCAAUAGUAAUAGACAUUUAUAUAAUUAAUGUUUAUUUAUUAUUAAGAUAUUUAGCUUAUUAAAAAUUAUUAACUAUAGGCCUAUUAUUAGUAUGGAUUUAUCAUUUCCUAUUUAGUAAUUCUCUACUAUAGGUUAUCACGUAAUUAGCUUAUUUUCUAUUUGGUAUUUUUUUUAUGGACUUAAUAUUUUCUAUUUUGAUUGUAUUCUAGUGGCUAUAAAUAGGGUAUUCCUUUAAUUAUUUAUUAGACUAUUUAUAUAAUUAUUAUAUAGAUAUUGAGUUGUGGAUUUGAUUAUUAAAAUCUGAGAUCUCCAAUCUUGGUUCUUAAUAAUUUUUCUCAACAUAUUAUGUUCAAACUUUUUUAAUCCUAAUCAAUAGGUUUCAGAACAAAAACUUGAUUCAUCACGCUGUCCUAAUUCUCUCACCCUAGCUUAUCGAAAAUCUCAACCCUUAUCUCAGUUGGUAACUGCCAUGCUUGCUAGUCAACUCAAGAUCAUAGUGUUCUUAUAGGAAAUUAAUAUUCCAGACCACGUCGAUGAUCGUCGAUGUCUGAUUCAGGAUCUGCAUCGUCAAUGGAACCCUUAGCCAGAAGCCCAACCCCCUAAGAAUGUUGGAAGAGCAUGUGUGGCCCUCACACGCCAGAAGCUGCAAGUGGAGCCAUAUUUCAUCCAAUGACCCUUGGGAUUUUGAAGUCAUUUGCGGAGUCAUAUCCAACCGUUAUUUGGCCAUUUUAAAACCAAAUCAGAGCCAAAAUUCUGCAAUUUUCUAGUAAUUUCCAAAUAAAAAUUCAAUAUUAUUUUCCAAUAACGAAGAAUAGUAAAACUAAGUGUUCCAUUUGCAAAAGAAAAGAAGUCAUAUAAGCAACAUAGCAAUUCUAUCCAAAUAAAGUUGUUUGUGAGAUUAAAAAUUGCUAUCCAAGAAUUGAGUAAUAAAAUUGAUAUGUUUGGAAUGAAGAUUAAAAAGCGCUUACAUCAAGAAAAUUUUAGAAUCUUCAGUUACACAAAAGCGUAACCUAUCUAAAAGUUUUAAUAGAACACCAAGAACAAGUAAAGGAUAAAAAAGGGUGAAAUAAAUUAAUGAAUAAACAAGAUAUAGAAGCUGCUACAAUCUUAUGAUCAAGAAUUAAGUAUGGACUGCAUGAACACAAGUGGGGUAAUUGAGAAAGUAAAGGGUGUUGUGGAAGAGGUUGUUAUUCGUAUAGAUGAAGUUGAGUUUUCUAGGGGUGGAUCUUUUAAUUUAGCAGCAAAAGACAAUAUUGCUCAUGUUGAAAGGUAAAGACAAUCCAGUUGAGUUAAACUCUAUGAAGACAAAAGAAGCCAUACUUGAAGAACUACAACAAUGACACCCUUUGCAAACAAUAUUGGUAAUCAAAGUUAGUGAUUCUUCCAUUUUGUAGAUUUUGUCUUGCCUAAUUGCUCCUUUGCUCCUUCAUAAUCCAUGGUUUUUUUUUCAUUGAAAUAAAAGUAUGAAAUGUGUAUUAAAAUACGGCACCAAGGUGGUGCCGGUCAAGUACAACUGCUCCAACAUCCUCAAGAUUGUAUAUAUUGUCUCCCAAAAAAAUGGAGCCAAAAUAAUGUAACCAUCUAUCUUUUAAGUUCACAAAAGCAGAUUCCCUCCCAUCAAAAGUCCUAGUUUCUUUCUUUCAAAAUGACCCAAAAAAUAAUAAGUGGAAUAAGGCGGGCGGAUCUAUUGUUGUUUGCAACUCCUUCCCAAGCCAAAAGUGCGUUGCUCACUGAGCCCAAAAAUUAUUUUUUAAUGCUUCAUAAUCCAUGAUCUUGGAAGCAUUCUUGUGCUCAAGCUCUCUUUCUUUUACAUCAAUUGCCUUCUUCUGAUUUUUUGUCUUUAAAUAAUAUCACUGAAAAUUUUUCGUCGUUAUGCAUUUAAAUUACAGUUUUCUUAGGAAGUUGGUCAAAAAUGAAGAUGCAUUUUGAAAGGUUUCAUAUGAAAUAAUUCUAUCUUCAUUUAAAAACCAAAAUUUUAGUCGGCUUGGAUACUACAUCAUGCUGUUGGAAAGGAAACUAGCAUUUGAAUGUUCUUUAUCCGGUCAAUUUACUGCCUGAAGUUGUUAUGCUGAAGAAGCUAUUAUCAUAGUAUUCCACUUGAGAUUUUGGUUUGUUGAGCUGCUCUGAAGAAAUGCGGAAUUUGCAUUUGCAUUAUUUUUUCUGAAGAUAAAAGCAUGGGUUUUGGAUAUUUCUAUUGAAAGUCCUUUUCUGAAGCAUCAUUUUUUGGUAUGCAGGGAACACAUUAAACUGUAAUCAUCUUGUUGUACUGGAACUAAUUCUUGACAGCUUAAGACACUGGUAGGGACGAUCCAUGUAGAAAAUUGCUGGUUGAUGCAUGGCAAUUAUUAUCUCAAGAUUCCUCAUUCUUUUCCCUUACCUAACUCUGUAGGGUUACUGAAUAUCAUGUGGAUGGAUUCCGAUUUGACCUUGCCAGUGUACUUUGUCGGGGAACAGAUGGAUCUCUGCUUAAUGCUCCACCUCUUAUUAGGGUAGUUUAAUUUUUUGUACUCUUUCUCUGGUAUGCCACAGGCUUGAGUGCAAAAUAACAUUUCUUUUAAAACCGAGUUCAUUUGCAGAUCUAUGGAAUGAUGAAACUGACAGCAGCAAAGAGUUGAAUUCUGAUGCUUAAUUUUCAGUAGUUGUAAUUGCAAAUAGAACUAACUCCCUUGUCUGAUAUAAUCUUCAGUAGAGGAGAAUGUUGAAGUGUUGUUAAUUUUCUCGCUUUUUUUUUUUUAGGUACUACUAAUUCAUGUAGUGUUAGAGCAGGGCCUUUGAGUUAAGCUAUCAUGCAUAUUGAUCUAGAAGAGGUGGCUGUACUUUUUCUUUAGUGCAUUACGAGUUGUUUGGUUAUAGGAUCUGCUUAUACCUUAUUUCAGAGAAGAAAAAAGAUCUGCUUAUACCCCUAUUUUCCUGUUAAUGAUGAAAUAAAAAAUAAGUAUAUUAUUCUUGUUGGAUUUUCAACCAAGAAGAGUCCCAGAAAAGACAAAAUAACUUGCAAAGUAGGUUAUGUAACCUUAAUGAUUCCAAAAGUUGCUCGUUUAUUAGUACAAGCUUUGGACAAAUAUAAACCACUAAACAAAACACUAGCCUAAGGAUAAAGCAAUACAUCUUUGGUUGACAGCCUCCUCAAUUUUGUUUGUCUUCUCAAAAAAAUAAAUGUCAUUGACUUGAUGGUUAUGAACUGAUUGGUAGUUCUUCCAGAAAUGGCUUCUAGUUUAUUAGUAGCAUUGCUUGAAGCAAAUGGCAAUUUCACUUUUGCUGACUGGCUUUGUCCUAUAAUUACUUAUGAACCAGGCAAUUGCCAAAGAUACUAUCCUAUCGAGAUGUAAAAUAAUUGCUGAGCCAUGGGAUUGUGGAGGUCUAUAUCUUGUGGGAAGAUUCCCAAACUGGGAUAGGUAAUGUUUAUUUUUAUUGUUCUUUUUAUCAAUUUCUUUUGUUCAAUGCGUUAAAGAUGAACAUAAUUGUUUUCUUUAUAUUCAUUGGACACCCUUUAUAUUUUGAAAGCCUGUUUCUUAGUGGAGAGUUUCUUGUUUAACCGAGAGGUAGUUCACCUCUAGUUUUUUCUCAAUUCUCUUGGCGCUUUCUUCUUUUUGAGUAGUAACGUAAGGAAAGGAGAUCGAUCUGUUUAUUAAUCCUAAAUGUUAUUCUUUGAUAGGAGUGAAUAUCACCUUUAGUAUAAAGUGGGUAAAGUACUUUAGUAAAAGGAGGCAAUCUGAUUAUUUCCAAUGUGUAAGGGUAGCUGCUCCCUCCAUGAAAUGAGAUGGAGGAGUGCAGAUAGGGUUCAAUUUCCCAUCGCUUAUUUCUUGGCGUAGCAAAACUGAUGUACUUGAGCUUUGGCAUGGAAGAAGUUGGUAUUCUUAUUUCCUGUUGGCAUCUUGCAUAUACAACCUUCAACUUACAAGAUUUCUCUGGUGUAGGUGGGCCGAAUGGAAUGGAAAGUACCGUGAUGACAUCAGAAGAUUUAUAAAGGUAUUGAUAGGGGGAGAAAGAUCUAAUAUUAGGUCAUAUUAAAAUCUUAACGACAAGAAGUGACUCAAUGAAAACAAAUAAGUAUAUCUUUAAAGAAAAAUGUUUUGAUAUGAUUAAGAUAUUUUUUAACUUUUAUCUUAAAAAAAAUAUUUCUAACUUGGUUCUUCAGAUUAAAGAGCUAUGAUGAAACUGUCAGAUUCUCCUUGUUAAUAUCUUUUGGUUUAACUUUUAAUUGACAGUUAAUACUGUGAGUUUGAUCUCCUUUUCUUUUUCUGUUAUUAAGCUGAACUUUAUGUAAAUAUUCGCAGUUUUGAUAUUCUGAAGUUUUGAGGUUUUCUACUCGAUUGAUGCUUAAUUCUUUCUUGGUUUCAUCACUUUUCGUCAUAGAAAUUUUGUUUGUUAGUUUCUCUCCAUUUUGUUCGGUUAGAUUGUAUAUAUUAUUAUUCUCUUCUUUCUAUUUCCUUUGUCACAAAAGAAAGGAGUAGCUUUCUUAUCUAUCAAUUUCCCAAUUUCCACUUUACUUUUUGUUUAAAAUUGUAUGAUAUAGGGUGAUUGUGGCAUGAAGGGAAGCUUUGCUACUCGUAUCUCUGGAUCUGCUGAUCUUUACAAGGUAAUGAUCAUUCUACCAUGGGUGCUUCAAGUCCUCUACUAAUAUUCUUGUUGAAAUCAUGGGUAAUUUUUAUCUUCAAUAUUUUGGCAUAAAUUGCUAACACAAAACUGUAACAAUUUUGAGGUUUAGAUUGUUCAGAAGUUUAUUAACAUACCAUUUUUGUAACUGAAUUUGAAUUAACAAGUGAGCAGAGCACAUUUAUUUAUUUAUAGUCAAAAUAGCCUAUGAGAUCCUGGAGCAAAGCGUUGACUUCCACAAUGAAUUGAUUUUUUUUUUCUUUUAAAAAAGAAAUUUGUCAAGCUAUGGGUUGAUUCAGUUUACAGACUUAUAUGACUUGAAGGUGUUAUUCUGUGAUUCUCAUCUUAUGGACCUUGUUCUUAGUCAAUAUCUUUUAGGAUAUAGUAUUUUAUAAGUUAGAAUAUGAGAUGCUACUCAUGAAAGUUCUGACGUGACAGAAAUUUCGUUAAUGAAGCUAGACGUCUAUUUGCAUAUUCUGUAAAGUUUUACUUCACUAAAAUCCACUUUCCCAGUAAAGGAAUAAAAUAUAUUAUUCUAUUUAAUCUAUAUUAUAAUUUGCUCAUAUCUUGCAAUAUUAUAAAGAGUACAUACUUCUGAUGAGUAAAUCACUUUUAAUAUUUUUCAUUCCCCUCCACCUAAUCAGUUAUCACAAUUAUUGGCUAUUGCAAAAAUUAACCUUUGGAUCUUUUCUUCUCCUUCUAUAGGUCAAUAAACGCAAGCCUUACCAUAGUGUUAAUUUUGUCAUUGCACAUGAUGGUUUCACUUUGUACGAUCUUGUUUCGUACAAUUUUAAGGUACUAUAUGCUUUUACUGGAUUAAUUUGAUUUUAUAAAUAUUAUGAAUCCACUUUUGCCCAUUACUGUUGGUUUUGUAGCACAAUGAUGCUAAUGGAGAAGGUGGAAAUGAUGGGAGCAAUGAUAAUUUCAGCUGGAAUUGUGGUUUUGAAGGUAGGAAUGAGCUACUUAUCUGGAAACCUUAGUUUGUAAAUUACAGGUUUAGAGCAUCAUAUUUUUAAGGUUCUAAAGAUGGGAUCACAUGACACCUCAAAAACUGGGAAAAUUUUCAUAUCAACAGAUUGUGAAGUGAGUCACUAUGGAAUUUCUUUGAGAUGAAAGUUGUUUUUUUUAUUUGCUUUAAAAGUAGGCCCUUCAUACAUGGAGUAUAAAUAGAUUUAAUUUGGUUUGUUUACACCCUGUACCCAAACCAUACGAAACUAAAAAGAUUUCAAACCAGAUCAAACCAUUUACCACGAAAAUAACAGAAACCAAACUAAAUUAAGUUACCUUACAUUUUAUGUAUCUCAAAAAUUUUUGUAACUUUGUCUAACAAUAUUACCUUACAUUAAUAAUAGCGUAUCUCAAAAACAAUAUUUUUUGCAAAUUAAGUUACAUAUACAACCUAGCAAAACAAAAACAAAAACAAAAACAAAAGUAAGUACUUUUAGGCACGAAUAGGAUGGUUUGGUUUGUUUUGGUUGAAAUCUUCUAGACCAAAAUGAACCUAAUUAAAAUUUUUGGUUUAGAUUUCUAUAACCAAAAUUUGGAGGAUCAAAAGCUAAACUAACCAUUUUGGUACUUUGCUUUACUUUUUUAGUUUGCAUCAAACAAACCCUAUUCGUGGGAGGACUGAGUUACAUAGCAUAUUUGUGGUGCAUUCAGGUUCUUGUUGGUCCUUAAACCUCCUGAAUGUCUUAGGACAUCACUGCUUGGCUGUGGAUGCCUGUUUUGAGUGACCCUGUUCUCCCGAAGAUGUGAUAUCAUUUUAUGUUCGAAAGUGUUGGAUAGUAGUGUCUGUGUCUGCUUCUUUUAUAAUGGUUUUUCUUCUCUAGAUCUUUUGCCGAAAAUUUAGGAUAUUGAUAGGUUUUAAAAAAGCUUCCAUGGAUGCGGAGGUUGUUGGCUGUUCCCUUAUUGGAUUUAUGCAUUCUUGUCAUUCAUUCAACUAAAUCUUACCUUCCAUUUUGUUUGAAAGUUAGCCAUACGCUACAUGAUCCCUUUCAUUCAAAAUUCUUGUUACCUUCUUUUUUUUUUUUUGUGUGUGUGCUAUAUGAUCAUUUUCCAUUUUGGCAGUUUGAGAGCUGCUGUAUAGGGAACACAUGACCGGACUUAGCAGUUCAGGGAAUUGCAAGAAAAUAUAUUACAUUCAUCUGUAUUUAUGCACAGGGGAAACUGAUGAUCCUAAGGUUAAAGCUUUGCGUUCCAGACAAAUGAAGAACUUCCAUUUGGCAUUAAUGAUAUCGCAGGUAAAACAUAUCUGAAAGCUGGUAUAAAGUGUCGCACAUUGGUGGUGCCUUACAACUUUAUCUUUUCCUGCUUAAACGAUCUUCAAUGUUUUCCUGUUUGGAUAAAUAGUCUAAACUUUUUGUUUAACUUGAUACACAAAUCAUUUUUUUUUUCAAACAAAAAAUAAUGACAAUGAGACAAUAAUAAUAAUAAUGGACUUGUAUUUUAUUUGGGUUUCAGGUUCUUGUUUGACUAAUUAUGUUUGCUGUAGUGUAGGUUAGUCAACAUUGAGUUGGUUAAGUUGUUUUUUUCUCCCUAAUUUCAUAUGUUUGUCAUCUACCUUUAUUACUAUUAAUCCUUGCUGUUAUCUUCAAUAUAAUAGGCAGUAUAUGGGCUUCAAAGCUCGUUUCUAUUCCAUCCGAAUUUGACACACCACGCCUGUUUCCUUUUCUUUUACAUCAUUUUCAUUGUAGCUUGUGCGUUGUUAUGCCUGGUUUUUUAGUGGUUUUCUCUAUGUUGCUUGUGAGCUUUGCUGUUUUAAUGUGACCAAAGUGAAUGUAUAUAAGCAGGGAACUCCAAUGAUGCUAAUGGGAGAUGAAUAUGGGCAUACUCGUAAUGGGAACAACAACAGCUAUGGUCAUGAUAAUGCCAUUAACAAUUUCCAAUGGGACGAGGCAUGUUUUCUAUUUGUUUUUCUGUCUUUCUGAUAGCUUUAACUCAUGAUGGCUCCUAAUGCAAAAUAUUUUUGUUAACAGUUGGACCAAAAGAAGAGUAGUCAUUUUAGAUUUUUUGCAGAGGUGAUAAGAUUUCGCCGGAGUCAUCAAGUAUUUAGCCAUGAAAACUUUAUUAGCAAAGUAAAUCUCGUUUCACUUUCAUGUUGUAGUUUAUUGCCUCUGAUUCCUAUGAAGCUAAUGAACCAUUUCAUAUACAGAGUGAUGUUACAUGGCAUGAGGAUAACUGGGACAAUUAUGACAGCAAAUUUCUUGCGUUCACGUAAGAAUAAAAUUUUUCUUCUUUCUGCAAUGUAAAAAAUAAUCUGCUCCUGGCAAUGGAAUUGCAUAACUGAUGUCCAGGAUCAAGCACAGAUUUCCCAUUUCCUGUUUGAUAUUAUAAAUUGCAUGCUGGACAGAGUGGCAAGUUGUUGAUUUAUUUCUUAAUCAAAAAGAAUUAUUUCAUUGUGUGCAUGCGUAUGUGCUCGUCUAUUUAUAUACCGUCCUGUCUCCUUGUGGCAGACAAUUGUAUUUCUUCUUUUCUCUGAUUGCCAGAAAAAAGGAUUCAAGCUUUGUUAAUGUGCUUUCCUCCUAACAGCACAGCCCCAGCUUCAUGGGCCAUUGUAGUCUCAUUUUCUCUUUAAAAGAAGUUUGAGUUUCAUUACCUGGAGGCUUGCAACUGUUCCCAUCCGACAAUAGAUGACCCUAAUCUUUUCCUUCACUCCCUUUAUGAACAAGAGGGAGGGACAGACUGCCUACAGUCUGUUUAGAUAUAUAUGAACAAAGCUAUUUCUACCAGUUAUUACCAAAAGCCAGAUCUAUGGCCUAUUAGUUUUACUAUUUCUGACCUUAUCUCCUGAUAUUACUAAAUAGAGUAAACUUAUGCUGGGGACUCCAGGAGCAAUCAUGUACACAGUAUUUAGCUUGGAAACAAUUAGUGUGUGAACAUAUAUAUAAUGAAAUGAAUUUUAGAAGAUGUUGUGCCGUAUAUAUUUUUUUCUGGAAACUAGUGAGCAUAUUUCAUUGUUAUUUUAACGAGCAUAUGCAGUCAGAACAGCAAAUGAGAAAUCUUUGGUUUUUGCAGGCUUCAUGACAAGAAAGGUGGAGAUAUAUAUUUGGCAUUCAAUGCACAUGACUUUUUUGUUAGAGUUUCAAUACCUCCACCACCAGCAAGGAGGCAUUGGCUUCUUGUGGUUAGUAUUUUCCUUUUCUUUUCUUUGAACUUGCAAUAUCUGCAACAUAUAAUGCUAUAUUCAGCACUUACAUUAUCCUAGUGCCACGAAUAUUAUUCAUAUGCUUAAAUUGUCUUUUCAUCUUUCAAUUUUAGGAUACCUGCUACCUUUCAAUUUCAGAAUACUUGCUACAGAAACAACUUUCAGUGAUAAUCUUAAUUUCUUAGUGGUUAUUUGGACUUUGUUUCGGGACACCUAUCCCACUGAUUUUUGGUCAAUUUUUAAUGUUUCAAACCUAUACUGCUUUCUAAGCAUAUGGGAUCAUUGUUCCUUGGCUUUCCUAAAAACUAGAGGGUUUGUCCCUCUCUGUACACCUGGAUGUGAGAACGGAAAAUGUUCCUUGGGUUGAUCCAAAUUUGUGGAGAUGGGAGAUCAAAUGAGUAUAUUAGGCUCCAAGUAAAUGGUGCGGUUUGGUGCUAUGUUGUCACUUUACAUGUCAGUCCCUAACUUUUUGCUCCAAAUUCUCCACAUGUUGUAAUGCUCCUUCGCUUUUAGUUUUCUUUCCCAAAAAGGACCACAUAGAUGCAGCCUUACUCCUGCUGUGAUGUUCAUUAGGAGCCUCUCACUUGCUGCUUUUUUUAAAAUAAAAAAUAAAAAAGUAAAGUAUAAUUCAUUCACAAGCAGUAAGUGCAAACCCGUGUACCUGUGACUUGCUGCUAAUUAAUGAUAAAGCAUUGUUUUAAUUAAGUUUCCUAGUGUAACGUUCAUGACAUGGAUGCAGUAAAGUGAGCUGCCGAGUUUAAAUGAUGGAUAUAACUAUGGCCAAUAAAAGAUUCUUUUGAAGUAAAAGAGUGAAAGAAGCAAGAAUUAAAAAAUAAAAUAAAAUAAAAAAGUCUCAGUUGAAUGAUUUGAUCAGGAAUAAUUGUGGCUUGACUUGGCAUGCAAAAUAUUCCUUAUUCACAAUCAAUAAUUUAAAGAAGAACCCAAACAUGUUGGUAAUUUAUUUGCCUCGUCAAAUUUCAGGCGGACACAAAUCUCGAGUCUCCGAAUGACUUUGUCCCUGAAGGUGUCCCAGGCAUAGAAGGCAUCUACAAUGUGGCCCCUUACUCUUCAAUUCUUCUUGAAGCUAAAUAAUGAGUCAUGAACCUGACCUAUCUGCAUAUUACACGAGCACUCCAAGAUUUUUUAUCUGCUAUAUGAGAUACAGGUUUUCUGGGAUCAUUUCGGUAUCAGGUAUUUCUAAGACUAAGGAAAGAGAUCUCUCUUUUGGGUAAAGAAGGAAGAUCAAUCUACAUCACAAAUUGAUGAAACAUUAACAGUUUUUAGACUUUACGCGCACUUAAUUAUAUAGUCAACUUUAGAGGCUUGUCUUUCCUUGGUAGUGAAGAUCUGAAUUGGUAAUGCAAAUUAAUUUUUACUUUUUUUUUUUUUUUUUUCCUUGCGUGAAGAAUUAGAAUUCAAGAAUAAGCAAGAAGAAAAAUAAAUACUUAUAUAUUCGGCAAAGCUAUUUUCUCAAGUCAUUGAAGAAGUAUUUGUCGUCUAGUGAGCGGCACGGUUUCUGAGUUUGACGACUUUAACUUGCUUUGAUUAGAAGAUGGCAUUAUGUAUUUAUGGUGCUUCUUUUUGAGCUCAUCUAUACGGUAGUCUUAUAUAAUAAACAUGCAAAUCAGGUUUCUUAAGACUUUUUGAAGCUGGAUGAAUUUAAUAAUUUAAGAGAAAUUCUGGGAGAACUAGUCAAUAUAUAAAUUCGGUUAACUGGCAAUUUGAUUUGUUUAGGGUAAAUUUUAAAAUUUUAAUAGAUGUAUGAAACAAUCUUCCCGGAAGUACAUCUUGGAUUUUAAAUCUUUUUAACAACGAAAAGAAGUUCAAGGUCUUAAAAAAUUACAACUGGACAACGAGACAAAGAUAAUGAAAACAGUAACACAUCUUUAGAUGUAUUAACUUAUGAUGAGUUCCAUGUCUUUUCUUCAUCGAUUUGGAUAGUCCUGUAAUUUAAAUUUUAUAAUAUAUUCCAGUCCACAACGGGCUAAUCUAAUCAUAACGAUAAGGGCAAUUUCCGCGUUUAAUAAUUAACUUGAUUAAUUAAAAAAUUAUACCCGUUGAUCAAUUAGAAACUUCAAAGACUAGAAAAGUCAACCAACAACCCACCGCCGUUGAUCAAAGAUGCUUUACGACAACGCGUCGCUGGAGUUUGUCAAAUUAUUGUACUUCAUCCGACGGUUCAGAUCCUUCCCUUGCGAUCAUCGGUACCACGUGUCAGUGAAGAUGCAGUUUCCUUUUUGUCGCACUUGAAUCCCUCAAGUUUCUCAUUCUCUCAAACCUUCCCCUAAUUGUUUAAACCAAUUGUAGAUCUGCUCCCCGUUCGUCUCCCAUAAUUAGUAAUUAUUUAUUAAACCUUAUUACGAAUGCCACUAUUAUCCAAAGACAAAUUAAUAUGACAUUUUCUUAUUAAAAAACUAAUUUUUAACUAAAUUAAAUAACAAAAAUGAUUGCGUCUCAUAAAUUUUUAUAAGCAUGUCUAAAAGAAAAUAAUUCUCUUUCUAGAAGAAGUAAAAUUUCAUUAUAAAUUAUUAAUAAUUCAAUAAAGUAUAAUUAUAUGUUGAUAAAAAAAUAAAUCAACAUGAUAGGACAAAAAUAAAAUAGACUUUUUAUCUAUUUAGACCGGCAAGGACUAAAAUGAAAGAAUACGUAAAUAUAAGGUGGUUAAAUGGAGAUUUCCGAAUAAACAAGUCAUCUUACGAUUAAAAUCUGGAAGAAAAGGAAACAAACAAGAAAUUUUCUGAACCGACUUUAACCUUUUCUCUAUAUAAACUCUCUUCUCCUCUCUCUCUCUCUUCAAAGCCCGCACAGUCUCUCUUUCGUUCUCUCUCAAUCUCUCACCAGUCGGCUCCUCUGUACUCUGCGACUUCUUCCUUUUUGCUUCUGAGCCCUUUGGCCUUUCGUUUUCUCUCGAGAACUCGCUUGAGCUAUAAACGAAAAAUGGCCAACGAGACUUUCCUUCUUCUUCUGCUUCUGGCACUGGCUUCCCACUCCGCUCUUGCUCAGGCUCCCGGAGCAGCACCGAACCAAUCUCCGCCAGCAGCUACUCCAGCUCCGGCCCCAAAGGCUGCGGCUCCAACUCCCUCAGUCAUGGCUCCACCACCAGCCACCACUCCAACUACUCCACCAACCGUAGCUCCAACCGUACCUCCAGCAAGUGCACCAACUUCUCCCACCAUCUCUCCUCCUGCUCCUCCCACCUCUCCCGCUUCAGCUCCAUCCACACCGGUCCCUCCCACACCAUCCAUUUCCAACCCUCCCGGUGAGGCUCCUGCCGUCACUCCCGGCAAUGGAGCUGCCUUGAACAGAAU